rnacentral:piRNA from 1 species
UGGUUUUUUUCUUUCCAGUGA